GACGAACGCUGGCGGCGUGCUUAACACAUGCAAGUCGAACGCUGAACCCGCUUCGGUGGGGGAUGAGUGGCGAACGGGUGAGUAACACGUGGGCAACCUGCCCCCGGCUCUGGGAUAGCUCCAAGAAAUUGGGGCUAAUACCGGAUGUGACCGCUGGCCGCAUGGUCUGGUGGUGGAAAGGGUUUCCGGCUGGGGAUGGGCCCGCGGCCUAUCAGCUUGUUGGUGGGGUAGUGGCCUACCAAGGCGACGACGGGUAGCCGGCCUGAGAGGGUGACCGGCCACACUGGGACUGAGACACGGCCCAGACUCGUACGGGAGGCAGCAGUGGGGAAUAUUGCGCAAGGGGCGGAAGCCUGACGCAGCGAGGCCGCGUGGGGGAUGACGGCCUUCGGGUUGUAAACCUCUUUCAGCAGGGACGAAGCGCAAGUGACGGUACCUGCAGAAGAAGCACCGGCCAACUACGUG
rnacentral:rRNA from 1 species